AUGGAAGUUCCCAGGCUGGGGUCGAAUCGGAGCUACAGCUGCUGGCCUACACCACAACCACAGCAAUGCCAGAUCUGAGCUGCAUCUGUGACCUACACCACAUCUCAUGGCAAUGGUGAACCCUCAUCCUCAUGGUUCCCAGUCGGAUUUGUUAACCACUGCACCACGGCGGGAACUCCUUUUUUUUUCUUUUGAAUUUGUUGACCCCACAUUUCUCAGAAGCUUCCGUUUACUAAAUUUUCAACAAGCUCACAAACCUACCAGAUUUGCUUCCCAAAAUUCCAAGCUCUGGUUUUCUUUGAGAACAAGGCAAACUGUCUGGAUACACACUUAAAGUUAUAAACAUAGAGGGCACAAAGUCUGAGAGCUUCCAACACUUGGCUCAUCAGAAACACUAGAGAAAGAGAAGAAGGGAGGGAAGGGGUGUGUGUGUGUGUGUGUGUGUGUGUGUGAAGGACGUAAAUAUUCGUGUGAUUUCUCUUUCAUGCUAGAAAGCAUCUGGGAUUUGGUACAAGGCUUGAGGCUUGAGAUUGGAGUUGUGUUCUGAAGAAACGAGGGGGACUUGAGAGGGCUGAAAGAGGUAGCACGAUGAAUCUCAAUGUGACAUGUAAACAAAGGAAAUGAGUAAUUGAAAAUAUCCUGUCUGUGUAUUCAUUUUCUGCAUACACGGACAAAGGCCAGGGUAUGAAACAAAUAGUUUCGGCCUUACUGUUACUUUGCUCUAUUAAAAAAAAAAAAAAGUAACAUAGAAGUAUUUCCAUAAAUUUCAUAAAAUUCUAUUCAAGAAGGAAAAAUACCAUACUGUUUUUGUCCACAUUGGAAAAUUCCUUUUCAAAUAGUUUGGGUAAAUUAUUGGGAGACGUGUCAGAGGAUUAAGCUUUCCUGGUUAAACCUAGAAAGUAAAACCUCAUAAAAUGAUGCCUUUGGAGCAGAUUUUGGAGUCAAACAGUUCGAGACAAAUAUUUCAGUGUCCCAUUAUAAGAAUGAUUUCUUGACUUUUAGGCUUGAGGUUUUCCUUUUCUGGGAGAACUGCCCACAUCGGCCUUCUCCUGCCCUUCCCCAGGAUGUGCAGACACAGUGAACUAAGCUCUUCCUGCUAUAAAAAAGACUGUCCAGAGCAAGACUGCCCAUCAGAAAUAGAGCGCCCACUAUGAGUAUAAUUUUCAAUGUUUUAGUAGCCACAUUUAAAAAAGUAAACACAGGAAUUCCCUGGUGGUGCAGUGGGUUGGGGAUCUGGCAUUGUCACUGCUGUGGCAUGGGUUCAGUCCCUGGCCCAGGAUCUUCCACAUGCUGUAGGUGUGGUCAAAAAAAGUAAAAGUAAAUAGAUGAAAUUAACUUUAUUUAUAUAUUUUAUUUAACUCAAUAUAUCCAAAAUACUAUUAAGUUAACAUGUUGAAAGCAGCUCUCUGGCCCCUUUCCUGUUUGGCUUCUUCUGUUCCCCUCUAACCUUUAAAGAACCUAAUUAACCUGUUGAUUCUUUUCCUAGAUAAAAAGAAGCAAGAAUAAAGAAUUAAGCAGUAUAAAAAUGACUAGCUCUCUUCCCCCAGCAUCUCCCUUAGCAAUCCUGCAGGCAGAUCAUGGAGGUAAGGUAAUCUGUAGAGUCAACCGGUCUACAUGCAACAAGUAAAGUGGCAAAUUUAAUAAUGUAUCUAAAAGAUGCACAGCCAUAUAUAUGUCUAAUUCUACCUUAACUUUUUUCAACCUUUUCUGU
rnacentral:lncRNA from 1 species